rnacentral:sRNA from 1 species
UCGGUGCAGAUUUGCGGACAAAUAAAGUGAACGUGGGCGUCCAUCGCGCCCGCAGUGAAGAUGUGGCCCUCCCCAGCCAGUGCCUCCGUGGUAGGUCCCACAACCAUUCCGGGAGUAACGCCAGCCAUGACGUCCGGGUUUCCUGCCUUUCCAAUCCCCACAAUGAACCCUUUUGCGGCGGAAGGGGCACCUGUCGGGCACGAACUCACGCAAACCUGUCCACACAACACACACCUUUCUUAAUCCCAAUAUCCGCCUUGAAAAUCCCCGUCCAGUCGACCACGAGCGCGUUCGUGAUGACCAAAUCGAGUGCCUCGGCGUCCGUCACGCCGGCCGCCUGACCCAUCCCGUCGCGCAA